rfam:Myotis davidii contig112080, whole genome shotgun sequence.
UCCUCAUGAAUUCUCAAGAGGAGAAUUCUAAAACUGAAACGACACAGAGCAGAAUAGCAUGGCUAUUUAUGCAAGGAUGACACGCAAAUCUGUAGAGCAUUCCAUAGUUUUU